GCGCUGUGCAGGCUGGGAUGGAACAGCGAUAGAGCGGUGCUUAGGUUUUUUUAUAACUCUUAAAUCAUUCCCCAGCUCUCGCUGCUGCUUUAAAUUGUAACUUGGCUUUUAAAAAGUUUAUCGUGCACUAAUUCAUUCAGCCCGUUCAUUUCCAUUCUGCUGACAGGGGACAAAAUUGCUUCUUUUUUCAUCCCAGAGAAUUCUAACUUUGUCAAUUUAUGGCGCCUUUUUGAUUUAAUCAGGAAAUUUCCUAAACUUCCGUGGCAAUAACAAGACAUUUUUCAAGCAGUACCUGGGAGCUGGCUGGGCAUUAUUUAUAGCCCUGGUGCACACAGUAUUUCGGAAGGACUUCCCGUGAGUCACUGGUGGUCAGAAGAUGCGGGUUGUUCCCAGCAUCAUUUGAUUCUGCUCCUGGGGAGGAACUGGAAAAACCCAUUUUUUGGCCUUUGCUUUGCCAUUGUCUGAAAAGUCCAUGUGUUUCCCUCUCCCUCUUCCCACCAUGGAGGAGCCCAGGCCCCUGGCAUAACCUGGACGUCCUGGCCACCUCCAUUGCCAGCACAUCACUUAUGUGCCAUGGAUGGAGCCGCUUUGGUGCUGCCCUGCAGAGCUGGUAUCAUGCUGUUCUGUGCAGAAACACUGUUAUUUCACUCUUGCAAACACUGUCAGAGCAAGUCACGGGAGGGAUUAUUUUUGGCUCUGUUCAGCGUAGUUACCUAGCAAUUUGCAGGAGGCUUGGUGAUACUGGGGAACUACUCAAACCACACGAGCUGCUCUGCAGCGAGCAAUUCAGUUGCUGCCUUUGGUUCCUUCUGCUGCUCACAAAUAGCCCAGGUGCCAGCUUGGAAUCUUACAAAUUUGUUCUCGGUUGGACAGAUUUCAGCCCCGUUGCUUGUGUGUGAAAUAUUUCUUCUGAUCGUUGCUUUUGAGCACUCACCGCCUGUGAUUCCCCCAUCACGCCUGGGCUCGGCUGCCGGUGUGCAGCAAAGCUUUUCCUCUGCCUUGUGAAAGGAAGGGAAAACCACAGCAUGUGCUGAUAUGGAUGUUCUGUAGGACAGUGCUGGGAAACCUCUUUUGAUGUUUUGCUUUCACAUUUCUCAAGUUGAAAAGAAAUAACGUGUGAACGCCUUCCCCUUCCGCUCCCGUGUGUUCUCCUGCACGCUCUGCAUCGCUGCUCUAACCAGCCGUAAAUACUGUUUGUGUUUGGCUUAUUAUCUCCAAGGUAAUUUAUGCUUUUCUGCUCAUCCAGGACGUUUACAGGCCUUCUGUUCUCUGCUGAACUCCAAGUGUUGUGAUGAGGAACUGCUAUUGUUCAGUUAAGAAGCAAUGUUGAUUGCCAAGAACCAACCAGAAUCAGUGUUUUCCAUUCUUCCAGUGUCAGACUGGAGGGGAAAAGCCUCAAGGAAAAGGCUGUGUGGGGCAAGACAGGGACAGUAGAAUCCAGGUGGCAAAGAGCCAUAGUGCUAUGGUAAGUUAUCAAGAAUCUUAAUUAGGAACAAAUUAAAGAUAUUCCAAUUCCACACAUAGUAUGACCCAUGUAAUUAAAUUAUUACUAAAAUGCUCUACACUUCUUCCUCCUACGGAUGCAGAGAAGCAUCUCUGGCAUCUCUCCCUGGCACUGCUGCUGGGCUUUGUGCCCAUCCUGGUGGGUAGUUUCAUAUCCUGAGAGAACGUUUGAUGUGGGCAAUAGGUUGGAUCUCAACGAUUGCUAUGGCUGAAGGACACGUGCUGGAUCUCAUCAGGUUGUGGCAGUGCACCUUCUGCAGUGGGCAGUGGCUGCACAGUGACAUUAGCAGAGAGACACGAUGCUCUCUCUUCAGGGGAAACGCCUUCAGGAAACUUCUUCUGUGGCACAUCCGUGUUGGCUGGAUCUAUUUUCCAACCAUUUUGUUCUCCGAAGCAUUGCAGAGAAGACAAAAUGAGAACCGUGGUCCUUCCGGAGCUCCAGCGGGUGCUGGAUGUUUGCUUUAAAUAGAAUUAACCAUGCAAAUUGAAUCAUGUGAGUGUAAAUUAGCACUCGUUCCACCAGUGCUCUCGGUGUCGCUUAACCUACCAUUUACCCCAAGACAUCUGCUAAGUGCCAUUCUUUCGAGUACUUAAACAGCACCUCUCAGUACCAGAGAGCCCCAGCCCCGCGCACCAGCAGAGCUGCACAAGCCUGUAAUUAUCGUUAAAGGACUAUUGUGCUCCUGGCGCUGAUGAAGGCAGUGGGUGAGGCUUUCCAGGCUGGCUCCCUGCUUGCCAAGGGGACGAUGAGUGGGGCUGGGGCUGAAGCUUGCCUGCUCCCUUCCCGUGCCCGCUCUGGCAGCAGGGAAGGUCCUGGCACACCGCUGUGAUGAUGCUGUCCAAAUAUCAGCAGUGGUAGUCGGCGUAAGAAACUGCAAAUGGGCUGUCGAAGGAAGUCUCCCCUGUCAGGGUUGCUGCCCAGCAAGGAGAUCUCUGCCUGCUGGAGGAUUGCAGCCCCCUCUCUCUCUUGCUGGCAUCUCUUCCUCUGCAGCACAAACAGGAGAGGGCCCAGGGCUGCAGUGAGCACCGCGUAGCUCCAAGCCUUCCACAGCGUGAGCUGUUAUUUAAGCCUUUGAUGUCAUAGUUGGGAGAAUUAAUGUGUUAACCUCCUGGAGAAGGUGGUGUGCAGGCAGGCUGGAGGCGCCGGCACUCUGCCCUGCAGCACAGCUCUGCUGCUGCGUGUCAGAUCACGGCUGGAAGCGGGAUGAGGGGAUGGACAGCCUCUUCCUACAGUGUGAGAAAACCCAUUGUGGCUGGUGUGAAUGGAGUUGGACACAAUUUCUCCACAGUGGUUAUGCAAAUUCCCGGCCAUAAUGAGACGUUGUCGUGUGUGAUGCUGCGAACAGAUGGCCCAAAGACAGGCUCAAGAUCGGAAUUAGUCCUGGGCUCCUGCAACAGAGCUGGGAGCAUAUGGGCCUCAUCGAUCCCCGCUUUAGCCUUAAUAGCAAAGGGAAUGGUAACAUUUGAAUAAAAGCCAAACGAGAGAAGAAAAAACAAGAUUGUGGUGAUUCAGUGGCACUCAGGCUCUUCUGAAAAGCUGAAAUGGUCCCUCCUCAAACUCGAGCAUCCUUCCAGCAACAGACGGAGCUUUGCUGUGGAGGAUCCCUGAAGGCUCGAGCAGCUCCUCUCUGCAGCAGCACAGACCGGCCUGCGUGCACCCAGAUCAGAGCCCUUCAGCCCUGUUAUUUAUGCUGUGGCUUCCCAGCGGCACGAAAGCACCAGCGGUGGUUUAGAAUUCCAUUUGGCACUUUGUUUUAUUGGGAGGCUUCGGGAGCUGCCGUGAUAGAUGGCUGCUUCCCUCCUGUUUGUCACAUCCGUGCCGUAUGAGUUAUCAGCGUCUGGUUCCUCACUUGGAGCCGGUGCAAGGGGCUUUGGAAAAUGGGGCAUCACUUGUUCAUUGCUUAUAGCUUUGUAAAUCUGUGAAGGACUGGGGUUCUUCUGCCUUUUAUUUCCGUCUAAUGGUGGUUUAAGGCAGCUCGCUGAUGCUGCUUGGGAUUUCUCCAAGGACCAAAUAGGAAACUGAUACGUACUGUGGAAGCGCUAAGCAGUGAAGAUUGAUUCUGUCAGUUAAACAUCACACAGGCAUAAACAGUAUGUGCUGCUGUGCCUGCUCCCCUCUGACAUCAGCAGAACCAAACCUUCCUGUCAGCAGGCGAGCUGUCACUUCAAGCCCUGAAUGCAGCAUCUGGAUGAAAAGGGAAUUUUAAUUUUUUUUUUAAGCUCUCCUAUUCCUAAUCAGCUGGGUGUCUGGGUCCUAAUAUUUGCCUAGAGCAAGUUCUUUCAAUAAUCUGAGUAAGUGGUCCCCAAGGCUUGUCGCUGAGCGCACGAAAGGGAUCUCGGUGUCUGUGCUGCUGAAAUUCAUUGAUCCCGAUAUUUUCUUGAGGAGGGAUAAAAAGAAGAGAAUAAUGUGGUUCCAGAACAGGACAGUUGAAAUCCCAGGGAAGAUGAUAUUUAAUGGGUGCCCACAGCUGCUUUGCCAGGCUUCAGGGGAGCUCUCAGCCCUGGGUGCACUGGUAGCCAGUGGCUGGGAAACACCCCAGGAUUUUUUUGUCCUAGUUACACAUGCCCUGAAAACACCCAUAGGAAAGGUCUUUCAGCUCCCCUCAGCCUCAAGGACUGUCUGUCCCUCCUGUAGCCCUGUGCUCUCUGGCCAUCACAAACCUCCUCUGGGACAGGUCCCACGCUGACCCCUAGCCCUGGCAGUGCUGUCAGCAGCAUCUUUGGUUCCCAUGGCAACUGCAGAAUGCCAAGUAUGGAGCUGGUGCACACCACAGCAUUGCCAGCUUUCCCUGCUUCCUUCAGGAAGUGGGUAGCACGAGCUGGAGUUGCCCACAGAACCAUGCAUGGCCAGAGCCAGCUGCAAGGGGUUAAUUUCAGAACCACUGUGCAGGAAGGGAACUCUUCCACCCUCCAGAGAAGCACACAUGGAUAUUUUUAGCAGGGCAGCAAGACAAACGAGCUCAGCUCUUCCAGCCAUCCAUCUGCUUCGUGUGUUCUGGGCCCCACAGCCUUUCCAAGUAAAUUGAGUCCUGUGCCAGG